rnacentral:rRNA from 1 species
AGCUCCAAUAGCGUAUAUUAAAGUUGUUGCAGUUAAAAAGCUCGUAGUUGGAUCUGGGGAUAUGAGGUUUUAGUUCAUCUUUGAUGUUACUAAUUCUUCAGCCCUAUUGGUUGAGCAUGCAUUGGAUGAUUUUAAUCGAUUGUCCCUUGUAGCCAACAAGUUUACUUUGAAAAAAUUAGAGUGUUCAAAGCAGGCGGCUCGCCUGAAUAAUGGUGCAUGGAAUAAUAGAAGAGGACCUUGGUUCUAUUUUGUUGGUUUCUGGAACUGGAGGUAAUGAUUGAGAGGGACUGCCGGGGGCAUUCGUAUUACGGUGUUAGAGGUGAAAUUCUUGGAUCGCCGUAAGACGAACGAGAGCGAAAGCAUUUGCCAAGAAUGUUUUCAUUAAUCAAGAACGAAAGUA